GACGAACGCUGGCGGCAUGCUUAACACAUGCAAGUCGAACGAAGCAUCCAAGCUUGCUUGGUUGGCUGAGUGGCAGACGGGUGAGUAACACGUGGGAACUUACCCUUUAGACUGGGACAACCACUGGAAACGGUGGCUAAUACCGGAUACGCCCUGAGGGGGAAAGCAGACAUGCGCUAAGGGAGAGGCCCGCGGCAGAUGAGGUAGUUGGUGGGGCAAAGGCCUACCAAGCCUGUGAUCUGUAGCUGGCUUGACAGGAUGAUAAGCCACACUGGGACUGAGACACGUCCCAUGCUCCUACUGGAGGCGUCAGUGCGUAAUAUUGGACAAUGAGGGAAACCCUGAUCCAGCAAUGCCGCGUGAAUGAAGAAGGCCUUAGGGUUGUAAAGUUCUUUUGUCCGUGACUAUGAUUACGGUAGCGGACGAAUAAGCCCUGGAUAACUGUGUGCCAGCCGCCGCAGUAAAAC
rnacentral:rRNA from 1 species